rnacentral:misc_RNA from 1 species
GCAAACUUGGUCAUUUAGAGGAAGUAAAAGUCGUAACAAGGUUUCCGUAGGUGAACCUGCGGAAGGAUCAUUACUGAAAAUGAAAUGGGCUGCUGCUGGCUCUUAGAGGCAAUGUGCACGCCCACUCCAUUUUUUUAUUUUCCCCCGUGCACCUUGUGUAGAUCCUUGAAUUCAACGGCUCACGAGAACGAAUGCUUUUUGCAUUCGUUCUCUUGGGCCCGAUGGGUCAACUCCGUGUCUGCUGAAAGACACGGCCGUUGUGCUCAGUUCAAGGUUCUAUGUUUUGGUUACAAUACCCCCCACAAGCAUGGUGUCAGAAGGCGAUGGUAACGGGAGGGCCCCCCUUCCGGGGCCCUUUCGAAUUCAAAUGUACAACUUUCAACAACGGAUCUCUUGGCUCUCGCAUCGAUGAAGAACGCAGC